UCUAUGAACUGUCGCAUGCGACAGCACGAGCACGACACAUGCAACAACAUGUUGGAAAACGUCAAAUGCCUCGUGCACGUGCGAGCGGGCCAUUUCCCGAAAGGAGCAUUCGGUGCUUGAUUUACACGAAGGCAUCUGCAGCGCCCGCAAACGUGCAGAACACGGGCGAGCUGUCAAACUGCAGGCAACAGUCGCGCUCUGUCAUUAGCCCGGUUUCGUACCCACAUGUUUUUGAUUUCUAAAUAAAGUAAUGGCAAUGCUCGGCCAGCAUCACGAUAAGAUCGAAAUUUUGGAACAAAGUGGCUUUUUGCGAAACAAAAGACCAUAAACCGAUGCCGCAGUGGGUAAGAGAUAAUUGCUUCAUCGUAAUUAGCGUAUGAUCGAUGAGCUAAUGCGCAACAUAAAGCACAGUGCAGAUGGCAAAUAACAAGCAAGUAAAAGAUUGCAUGCUGUGCCGCGACGAAAUGGUUGAAUCCACUGAUAAAGCGAUCUUAGUACAAGAGGCCACGCAAUAUUUUCCUGGUAAACCGGAUCGAGCUCUAUUUGAUUCAGGAUGAUAAUGAUGUCUCAUAACAUAAUGAAUGAAGAACUGGCAAUCUGAUUUCUGAUGUCUUACGAGCUUCAAGAAAUGCAUAAACGCAUUUUCAUCGAAGGAUUGACAAAUUGAUUCCUGAUGUCGUCUUACGAGCUUCAUGAAAUGCAUGAAUAUGUUUUCAUUAAAGGAUUGACAAAUUGAUUCCUGAUGUCGUCUUACGAGCUUCAUGAAAUGCAUGAAUAUGUUUUCAUUAAAGAACUGGCAAUCUGAUUUCUGAUGUCUUACGAGCUUCAAGAAAUACAUAAACGCAUUUUCAUCGAAGGAUUGACAAAUUGAUUCCUGAUGUCGUCUUACGAGCUUCAUGAAAUGCAUGAAUAUGUUUUCAUUAAAGAACUGGCAAUCUGAUUUCUGAUGUCUUACGAGCUUCAAGAAAUACAUAAACGCAUUUUCAUCGAAGAACUGGCAAUCUGAUUUCUGAUGUCUUACGAGCUUCAAGAAAUACAUAAACGCAUUUUCAUCGAAGGAUUGACAAAUUGAUUCCUGAUGUCGUCUUACGAGCUUCAUGAAAUGCAUGAAUAUGUUUUCAUUAAAGAACUGGCAAUCUGAUUUCUGAUGUCUUACGAGCUUCAAGAAAUACAUAAACGCAUGUUCAUCGAAGAACUGGCAAUCUGAUUUCUGAUGUCGUCUUAUGAGCUUCAUAAAAAUGCAUCAAUAUGUUUUCAUCGAAGAUCUUCUGUGGGUCAUUGGCACCGGGAAGACCAUUCUACGGAUCGUCACAGUCACAGUUGUUACAGCAUUGUGGACCGGUUGUCAGCGAUACACCUGACAAUUCUAAAGACAUCAUCAUCGAAUCAUGUCACCGCUUUUCACUAAUAAUGUCUUACCAUAGCAAAGGACGGUAGAAUAAGGUAGAACGGUUCUAAACAGGCUAAACGUGUGCGACAGUCUUUGAUGGCGAUUAGAUCGUGGGUACAAAGUCUUCUGGUUGGAGCAUAUAAAUUGAUUUUGGAUAGAAGAAAGGGAAAACCAAUACGUUAGUUUAGGACAGGGGUCUCCAAACUUUUCCUGUCGCUGGCCGAAUUGCUUCGCAAAUAGCUAUGUUGAGGGCCAUUUGCUGUUACCUACUUAUGAGCGAAUGUUGAAAUCUCGUUUUUAUACCAAAAUACUAACGAAAGUUGUGCAGCUUUGUUCUAUUCAAUAUCACAAUUGACUAAUCUAGUUUUAUGGUAAAUAUGAAUAAUUACCAAUGAAAAAUAAAUGAAUCAAUAAAUGAAUUAAAUCAACACA